CCGGUCGGGGAACAGUGUCAGGUGGGCAGUUUGACUGGGGCGGUCGCCUCCUAAAAAGUAACGGAGGCGCCCCAAGGUUCCCUCAGAAUGGUUGGAAAUCAUUCGAAGAGUGCAAAGGCAUAAGGGAGCUUGACUGCGAGACAAACAGGUCGAGCAGGGACGAAAGUCGGGCUUAGUGAUCCGGUGGUACCGAAUGGAAGGGCCAUCGCUCAACGGAUAAAAGCUACCCUGGGGAUAACAGGCUUAUCUCCCCCAAGAGUCCACAUCGACGGGGAGGUUUGGCACCUCGAUGUCGGCUCAUCGCAUCCUGGGGCUGAAGUAGGUCCCAAGGGUUGGGCUGUUCGCCCAUUAAAGCGGUACGCGAGCUGGGUUCAGAACGUCGUGAGACAGUUCGGUCCCUAUCUGUCGUGGGCGUAGGAAAUUUGAGAGGAGCUGUCCUUAGUACGAGAGGACCGGGAUGGACGUACCGCUGGUGUACCAGUUGUUCCGCCAGGAGCACGGCUGGAUAGCUACGUACGGACGGGAUAAGCGCUGAAAGCAUCUAAGCGUGAAGCCCCCCUCAAGAUGAGAUUUCCCAGUAUGUAAGACCCCUUGAAGACGACGAGGUAGAUAGGUUCGGGGUGGAAGCACGGCAACGUGUGGAGCUGACGAAUACUAAUCGGUCGAGGGCUUAACCUA
rnacentral:rRNA from 1 species